UACAGAGGGUGCAAGCGUUAAUCGGAAUUAUUGGGCGUAAAGAGCACGUAGGCGGACGUAUAAGUCAGAUGUGAAAUCCCCGGGCUUAACCUGGGAAUUGCAUUUGAAACUGUGCGACUAGAGUAGGAUAGAGGAAAGCGGAAUUUCCGGUGUAGCGGUGAAAUGCGUAGAUAUCAAGUGGAACACCAGUGGCGAAGGCGAGUCUCUGGACAUUUCCUGACGCUGAGGCACGAAAGCCAGGGGAGCAAACGGG
rnacentral:rRNA from 1 species